rnacentral:rRNA from 1 species
GACGAACGCUGGCGGCGUGCCUAAUACAUGCAAGUAGGACGCAGUUGCGUACGGGUGAGUAACGCGUAGGUAACUACCUAUUAGAGGGGGAUAACUAUUGGGAACGAUAGCUAAUACCGCAUACUAGUAGAUGGACCUGCGUUGUAUUAGCUAGUAGGUAGGGUAAUGGGCUACCUAGGCAACGAUACAUAGCCGACGCGAGAGGGGGAUCGGCCAACCUGGGACUUGGACAAUGGCCAGACUCCUAAGGGAGGCAGCAGUAGGGAAACUUGGGCAAUGGGGGGAACCCUGACCGAGCAACGCCGCGGGAGAGAAGAAGGUUUUCGGAUCGUAAAGCUCUGUUGUUAAGGAAGCGGUACUUAACCAGAAAGGGACGGCUAACUACGUGCCAGCAGCCGCGGUAAUUC